AGCACUCCUUACUAAGCUCUUGUUCCCCACACUGACCUUCACUGAGACUCAAAUCAAAAGAAAAAAAAGAAGAGCAUCAACUUCUUUCAUGGCCAAGCUCAUCCAGCAGCUCAAAAACAAGUUCUUCAACUUCUUUGAUCUUGUCAAGGGUGUUAACAACACUAACUCUAAAGACAAAGGUGGUGGAGAUAACCACAAAAUGAGUCAUGCUCAUGUUCAGAGCCGAGGGAUAUCAAUAACAACUGUGAAGCAGAGUGACAUGGCAAAGCCGUCUCAUGGACCUCCUCCUCAAACCAACUGAAAGGCAUUUGCUCCAUGGGAGAACAGACUCAAGUUCCUAUAUAGAGUGGUGUUGAGGAAAUUAAUCAGAUGGGUUUCUCUAUAAGUCUGGUUUGUUUGUGUGUGAUUAUUAUAAUACUACCUUGCUUUGUAUAUGUACAUUUUUUCCUUUGUGUUUUCAUGUUCAAGCUCGGUUGUGAAUCUUAUGAUAUAAUGCUUGUUGGAUGUGGAUCAUGUGAUCAGUGAUUUUCUUUGUUAAAUAGAGCAGUACCGCUCUUAAUUAAUAAGGGAUGUUCAAGUGGAUCGGGUGCAUGUAAGAGAUGUCAUGUAUUUGUUUCUUGGACGUAUGUACGUGAUGUGUUUUUAAAGCAGUUUGAUAUAUAUAUAUAAAUAUAUAAUGCAUUA